GGACAAUAGGGUGAAUAAGAGGAUGUGCGGAUUGCGUCAAGGGAGGGGGCGAGGUUGUGUCCUCAAGAUUUAAUUAUUCAUUUAUCGGCCUACAUUCUCAAAGAAAACGACAACAACACCAGCAACUUUAUGAAAAAAUAAUAUGCAGCGACCUGUCCCCUCGUCCAUAUUUUAAGUGCGCAAAACAAAUCACACGGAAAGACAUCGGUGCAGAGAUGGCGUGGUGUUGAAAUUCUGUCUGGGACUGCUCGGAAUUAAAUAAAACCACCUCAAGUGAACCCUGUCCGAAAUAAGAACGGAGAGUGCUGGUCACUUCACCUGGAAAGAUAAGGCAGAGUUCACUCCAAUCGCCACAGUCCAAACAUGGACCAAAGAGCUGAAUGCGAGAGGUGGAGUGACAGUGAUGCUUUUGUUACCAAGGCAGCAUUUGACUGAAUAAGGCCUGGUAAAAGUGAAGUUAAUUCCAUUCUUAACUCCUCAACAACCGAAGGAGCUUAUGCCUGCAUGCAACAAUAUCUCCUCAACAUUUAGGCAUAGGCUGAUAUUUGUGUUACAAUACACCAGGCAAUGAAAAUCUUCAAUAAGAGGAAGUCUUGAUGUUAUCUUUGCCAAGUUCUCCACCAUUUAUAUACUGGAGGUCAAUGUAAAUCGGAAACUAAUUUGGACCAACAACAUAAAUACUGUGGCUACUGGUGUUGGUGAGAGACUGGGUAUCCUGUGGAAAGUGACACACCACCUGAUAUCCCAAGACCAUUUUACUAUCUGCAAAGCAGGUUAAGAGCAUGAUAGAACUCUGCACGUGUAUAGAAGAGUGCAGCACCAUAAAUUCUCAUGAGGCUAGAUGCCAUUCAGAGUAAAAUUACCCACUUGUUCAGAACUCCAAAAAUCAUCCUGACCCAUCAGCAUGCGAUGGCUGCCAUGUAUAUACUGUCUGUUAAAUGCACUACAAUUGCUUAUUAGAAAUGCAAAAGUCAUAAAUUUUAGUUUCUGUAUCAAACUCCAUUCCUUAGUCAACAAUGUCAUCCUUCUCCUUGUCCGAAAUUGAAUCACAUAUUUACAACUGCAAUGUUAUAUUUGACAUCCUAUAAAUGCUCAAUCACAUGAGACAAUUCCACCUCUGUGGUAUUUAGAAUUCUACCCUUGCCUCAGCACUAUGGCUGCUUUAAAUCCCUGAGACUUCCAAGGCAUGAUGGCAGGAUCAUCUCAUUCUAUUUUUCAUUAACUUGAGGUGUAAAGUCUUGCUGCCGAGUCCUAGCUUGCAAUGCCCCAUUCACUAUCAGCACUAUACUUGCUGGUCUGCUGUCAAGCAAAAUGUCUAAUUAAACAUUUCAUGCUGAUUUUCAUAUUCUUGCGUAGACUUGCCCCACCCCUAUCUUGAAAUUCCUUCCUUCUCUAAAGACCCCUGAGGCAUCUUUUCUCUUAUUCUGGCCUCUUCAUCAUCUGACUUUAAGUGCUCCUGUGUUGACGAUGUUUCCUUUUUUUGUCAAUCCUUAAUUCUGGAAUUCUCUUUCCAAAUCUCUCUGCCUCCAUGUAUUUUUUGAUCCUCUAAAACGUUCCUAAAUACCAACUUUGUAAUGCAAUGUUUCAUUCAUCUGCAUUACCUAAUGUUAUUUAAUCUUGCUCCUGUGAUGCAUGUUGAAUGUUAUAUUUGAUAUAUGUCUCUACAUUAAAGGCAAAAUAUAUUAACGCUUUUGUUGUUUCUUUUACAAGUGUAUAUCUACAGUGCUACAACACAGAAUGUGUUCCUGUUGUUACUUGUGGAAUUAAUUCCUGAUUUAUUCCUUUUAAUAUGCAAAUGUAUUUUGCUUGUAGGUAUAAAAUUGAAUUUGUCCUUUGUAUACAAUGUUACUGUUAAAACCAUCCACAUCCAUUUGCACAAUUUUAACUCUGUAGUGGCAGAUUUUUAUAUCAUUCAAGAGAUUGCUCCCUCUAGCCGCUAAAUGGACUGCAUGGUAUAGGGGAAUGUCGUUAUACGCAUGCGAGCUCUCCAUCAGAGACCUUCAGAGCUUCUUCACAGAUAAAUCUUCAUAACACAGUCUUUUGAUUAAUAUAUUCUUUAUUGUUGAUGAAAAACAAUAAGGUACAUACAAACUUCUUCCGACAUACACUAUAAUCUCCAUCAAACUCCAGCAUAUCGCUUUAAAGGUUAGAAAGCUCCUCGUGUCUCCGUUACACUCCGCAUGGUCAAAGGGUAAACCUUCUCCAUGCUAGUCCGAAACUAAACUAAAAACUAAGCUUCUGCUCAAGAAAUUUAGCUCCAAACACGCCCCAAAAUACGUCAUAAAUCCCACCCACAAUAUAACGGGCAGUCUGAAAUGUAAAGACACAUGCCAUCAUCAAUGACACACAAAACAAUCAAAAAAUGGCCACUACACUCUAUUUUAAUGGUGACUGUUAAUUUUAUGAGAUUACAAUUAUUUGUUUGCAAAAUUAUGUAUGUGGAUAAGAAAUAGCAGGAGUCCUUGUCCUGGUGGCUGUGGUGCUUAAUAUCACUUACUCCCAGUUUUGAGAUGACCUCGAUUAUGUGAUAUUUAAUAAUUUCAUUGAAAGUAGCAUCUAUUUGUUUUAUAAUUACUACAGGUUAUUCAUUGCACCUCUUGACUGCAUUUAGGCAAUCAUGGGAGAAGAGAUACUUACUUUAUUACCUGUACCCUUCCCACCAUUCAGUGACCUAAGCUGUCCUUCCAGGCUGAUAUUGGCAAUAAUUGUCCAUCCAAAAUAUUCUUGAACUGAGGAAGCAGUAGGAGUCAACAUCAGCGAGUUGGAAGUCACCUGUAGCCCAGACCAGGGUGAAGAGAUUGGC